rnacentral:rRNA from 1 species
GGAUUCCCUCGGUAACGGCGAGUGAAGAGGGAAGAGCCCAGCACCGAAGCCUGCGGCAGUUUUGCUGUUAGGCAAUGUGGUGUGCGGGUCGGUCAGCGGGAUCGUCACUCCACUCGAAGUCCAGCAUUGAGUAUGGUUAUCACUGGAUUUGGCCCAUAGAGGGUGAGAGGCCCGUACGAGUGGAGGUUCAGAUAUGUACGACGAUUCACCAGACCGGCCUCAGAGUCGGGUUGUUUGAGAUUGCAGCCCAAAGAGGGUGGUAAACUCCAUCCAAGGCUAAAUACUGGCACGAGUCCGAUAGCGAACAAGUACCGUGAGGGAAAGUUGAAAAGUACUCUGAAGAGAGAGUAAACAGUACGUGAAGCCGCAUGCAGGUAAACGGGUGGCGUCAAGCUGCGAGCCCGGAGGAUUCAGCUGGUUAGGAUGUAGUGUACGCGUGCCUGGUGCGUCGAGAGACCAGAAUAAGAUGUUAGCGGUCCAUUCCUCUAAUAGGAGUGGGGUGCAGUUGGUUUGCGUGUGCUUGCACAUGUGUGCCGAUUGUCGCUAUACAUGCCGGAUGGUAGCCGGAGUAUGCCGCUCAUCUGUUGGGUCACCUAAUCAGUGCAUUUUCUCCGUGGUGAACACCACGACCGGUGGAACUGCCAGUCUGCUGUCAUCAAGUCGUGUCCUUCUGGCCCCUCCAUUUCUUUUGUCCUCUUAUGGCUAUUACUGUCUACCUAUUAGCUCUCCUUUGUGGGUGUUGGUGGGUGGAUGGUGAUGGCUGUGAGAGUGAUGCGAGGAGUGGAUGUGUGUGUUUUGGUUGGAUACGAUCGCAGAUGGAGUUGGUAGACGGCGUAGUGGUACAUUAGUAUCGCCGCGUGUUAUCGUUUACUCUCUGUCGUAAGCGAUUAAUGGAGGUGACUGAGUACUGUGACUACUUCUCCAUUAGUUGGCGGAUGAUAGCGGUAAAAAUGACUGUGCAGGGCACUGGAGUUAUCCACCUCUGAUCAUUUCUUUAUUCAUUCAUUUAUUUGGAUGGAUUGAAGGAGUUGAUUAUGGUACCCGACACGUACGUUACAGGUGCUAAGUGAUCGGAGCAUUCCGCUGUCUGUCUUGUAUUGGGCCUGACUGUCGUGUUGCCUACGCAAAGUAGGUCCGGCGGUGGUUGUAUGUACUUGGCAAUUGGCAGUGUGUAGAGUGCUUCGGGUGUGUGUGGUACUGUAUGUUGUGGGGUGAAAUAGUCAGUGG